rnacentral:rRNA from 1 species
UACGAAGGGGGCUAGCGUUAAUCGGAAUUACUGGGCGUAAAGCGUGCGCAGGCGGCUUUGCAAGACAGAUGUGAAAUCCCCGGGCUCGACCUGGGAACUGCAUUUGUGACUGCAAGGCUAGAGUACGGCAGAGGGGGAUGGAAUUCCGCGUGUAGCAGUGAAAUGCGUAGAUAUGCGGAGGAACACCGAUGGCGAAGGCAAUCCCCUGGGCCUGUACUGACGCUCAUGCACGAAAGCGUGGGGAGCAAACAGG